UGGGACUUCCCAAACUGAAAAACUACUGCACAUAUAAACACUAAACUGCUUUGCUAGUUCAAUCAAACUAGCAAUUUCUUUUUCCAUCGACAGAUAUAGCUCCUGUACGUCCACCAAAAUCACAUUUAGCAGCUAUUUUCAAGAUAGCGCCGUCACCGGUACAGCUGAUCCAAACAUUUCCAGUGAAAGUGAAAAAUAAGUUGGUUAAAGAGCUAACACAUGCACUCACAAAAACACUGUUAUGCUUAUUUAACAUAUUUUAAGCUUUGUUUUUAUACAGAAACGUCACUUAAAUACACACAAAGUGUAUGUAUACUUAUACAGUUGUUCUGUAUUAUUAUUAUUUUUUUGAUAGAGAAAUGAUAUGAUAUAUUCUUUAUUAGGUUUUAUUUUAUAUAUAUUUAUAUAAUAUUUUGUGAAAUUUCUUCACAAAACCUUUUGCGGAUUUGUUUUUGCUCGUAUUGUUACCUUUUAUUUCCUACAAAGAGUAGCCCAGCACUUUAGUAU